rnacentral:tRNA from 1 species
CGGAAUAUAGUUCAGUGGUAGAACAGCUGACUCAUGGAUCAGCAUAGCGGUGGUUCGAAUCCAUCUGUUCCGA